GUUACGGACAGGUGGUUCACCUCACGGUGCUACUGCCUGGACCGGACCUAUUGCUGGUUCCUCUGGAGUGCCCUUCACUGGGUGCUUCAGGAGACCAGAGCGUUUACUUUGAAAAAAUUGGAGUGCUCAAAGCAGGCGAUUGCCUGUACAGUCGUGCAUGGAAUAAUGGAAAAGGGUCUCGGUGCUAUUUUGUUGGUUCUCGGCACUCGAGGUAAUGGUUAAAAGGAACACUUGGGGGCAUCAGUAUUGCGACGUUAGAGGUGAAAUUCUUAGAUCGUCGCAAGACUAACUACUGCGAAAGCAUUUGCCAAGAAUGUUUUCAUUAAUCAA
rnacentral:rRNA from 1 species